rnacentral:rRNA from 1 species
ACACGGUGGAUGCCCUGGCAGUCAGAGGCGAUGAAGGACGUGCUAAUCUGCGAUAAGCGUCGGUGAGGUGAUAUGAACCGUUAUAACCGGCGAUUUCCGAAUGGGGAAACCCAGUGUGUUUCGACACACUAUCAUUAACUGAAUCCAUAGGUUAAUGAGGCGAACCGGGGGAACUGAAACAUCUAAGUACCCCGAGGAAAAGAAAUCAACCGAGAUUCCCCCAGUAGCGGCGAGCGAACGGGGAGGAGCCCAGAGCCUGAAUCAGUGUGUGUGUUAGUGGAAGCGUCUGGAAAGGCGUGCGAUACAGGGUGACAGCCCCGUACACAAAAAUGCACAUAUUGUGAGCUCGAUGAGUAGGGCGGGACACGUGGUAUCCUGUCUGAAUAUGGGGGGACCAUCCUCCAAGGCUAAAUACUCCUGACUGACCGAUAGUGAACCAGUACCGUGAGGGAAAGGCGAAAAGAACCCCGGCGAGGGGAGUGAAAAAGAACCUGAAACCGUGUACGUACAAGCAGUGGGAGCCUCUUAAUGGGGUGACUGCGUACCUUUUGUAUAAUGGGUCAGCGACUUAUAUUCUGUAGCAAGGUUAACCGAAUAGGGGAGCCGAAGGGAAACCGAGUCUUAACUGGGCGUUAAGUUGCAGGGUAUAGACCCGAAACCCGGUGAUCUAGCCAUGGGCAGGUUGAAGGUUGGGUAACACUAACUGGAGGACCGAACCGACUAAUGUUGAAAAAUUAGCGGAUGACUUGUGGCUGGGGGUGAAAGGCCAAUCAAACCGGGAGAUAGCUGGUUCUCCCCGAAAGCUAUUUAGGUAGCGCCUCGUGAAUUCAUCUCCGGGGGUAGAGCACUGUUUCGGCAAGGGGGUCAUCCCGACUUACCAACCCGAUGCAAACUGCGAAUACCGGAGAAUGUUAUCACGGGAGACACACGGCGGGUGCUAACGUCCGUCGUGAAGAGGGAAACAACCCAGACCGCCAGCUAAGGUCCCAAAGUCAUGGUUAAGUGGGAAACGAUGUGGGAAGGCCCAGACAGCCAGGAUGUUGGCUUAGAAGCAGCCAUCAUUUAAAGAAAGCGUAAUAGCUCACUGGUCGAGUCGGCCUGCGCGGAAGAUGUAACGGGGCUAAACCAUGCACCGAAGCUGCGGCAGCGACACUAUGUGUUGUUGGGUAGGGGAGCGUUCUGUAAGCCUGUGAAGGUGGCCUGUGAGGGUUGCUGGAGGUAUCAGAAGUGCGAAUGCUGACAUAAGUAACGAUAAAGCGGGUGAAAAGCCCGCUCGCCGGAAGACCAAGGGUUCCUGUCCAACGUUAAUCGGGGCAGGGUGAGUCGACCCCUAAGGCGAGGCCGAAAGGCGUAGUCGAUGGGAAACAGGUUAAUAUUCCUGUACUUGGUGUUACUGCGAAGGGGGGACGGAGAAGGCUAUGUUGGCCGGGCGACGGUUGUCCCGGUUUAAGCGUGUAGGCUGGUUUUCCAGGCAAAUCCGGAAAACCAAGGCUGAGGCGUGAUGA